GCAGUGGCCGCCGGGUCCCGCCAGGUGUCGCUGUUGGAGCUGCGGCUGCGCCAGGGGGAGCAGGAGAGACAGGCCCUGUCCCAGGAGCGGCUCCGGGCGGAGGCGGCCGAGGAGGAACUGGGGAAACUGGGCCAGGCCCUGAGCCGGCUGUUGGGGACACUGGGCGUGGCCCUGGCCGAUGUCACCGUGGCCGUCGGGGCCCUGGGGACCCUCAGUGAGCGCCUGGACGGGCCCAGCACCGACUGCAGGGUCAGUGACACUGGGGACACCUGGGGACACUGCAGGGACACUGCAGGAUACUUUGGAGGCUUUGUGGGAGGACUGGGGACACUUUGGGGUCAGCUGGGCACACCUUGGGGACGCUUUGUCAGGAUUGGGGACACUCUGGGCACAGUUUGGAGGUUUGGGGACA